rnacentral:rRNA from 1 species
AGUGAACGCUGGCGGUAGGCCUAACACAUGCAAGUCGAACGGCAGCACAGUAAGAGCUUGCUCUUACGGGUGGCGAGUGGCGGACGGGUGAGGAAUACAUCGGAAUCUACUUUUUCGUGGGGGAUAACGUAGGGAAACUUACGCUAAUACCGCAUACGACCUACGGGUGAAAGCAGGGGAUCUUCGGACCUUGCGCGAUUGAAUGAGCCGAUGUCGGAUUAGCUAGUUGGCGGGGUAAAGGCCCACCAAGGCGACGAUCCGUAGCUGGUCUGAGAGGAUAAUCAGCCACACUGGAACUGAGACACGGUCCAGACUCCUACGGGAGGCAGCAGUGGGGAAUAUUGGACAAUGGGCGCAAGCCUGAUCCAGCCAUACCACGUGGGUGAAGAAGGCCUUCGGGUUGUAAAGCCCUUUUGUUGGGAAAGAAAAGCAGCAGGUUAAUACCCCGCUGUUCUGACGGUACCCAAAGAAUAAGCACCGGCUAACUUCGUG